AUAAUAUGUUAUUUUUAAUACAAAUAUUAAUAUUUAUAUAUUAUAUAAAUAUAUAAUAUACAAUGUAUAAUAUAAUUAUAUAAAAUAUUAAUAUAUAUAAUAUAUAUAUUCCUUGUCACAGCAGUUUAAUGGAAUGUUUUCACCUGGAUAUAUUCACCUCAUUUUACACGUGUUUUAAUUAAGAUAGAAUUCUACAGUGGAAAACAUUUUAAAUUAUAUCAAUACAUUUUUCAUCGUAAAAGAUUCGAGUAAUACAGAUAAAAUUCAACCCUCUUAACUCAUUACCCAAUUCCAGGCUUUUCUUAGGGCUAAUUACAGUUAUUAACUUGAAGCAUACAUUUCCAGGGGCACCUGGGUGGCUCAGUCCGUUAAGCCUCUGACACUUUUGAUUUCUGCUCAUAUCAAGAUCUCACAGUUCAUGAGUUCAAGCACCUCCAUCAGGCUCUGCACGAAGAGUGCAGAGCCUGAUUGGGAUUCUCUCUCUCCCUCUCUCUCUCUCUGCCUCACCACCACUCUCUCUCCAAAUUAAAUUAAAAAAAAAAAAAGUAUACCCUUACAGAACCAUAUUAUUUGCAUGUACAUACAUAUAUUUGUAUUAAUGGAAAAAUAUGAUUUGUGAAUUAAGCACCUUUUUAUUGGGGAAAAAAAAGUCAUGAUGUAAGUUUUUCUGCACAUAAAAACAUACGUUUUUAUUACUUGUGCCAGGCCACAAGACAAUAGGGAUCAUUUCCAUAGUGUAUAAAUCUGUACUGCCUCAUCUAAAACGUUUAAACUUUAAUUUUGGCAGUCUUUCUUAAUCCCCGCAAAAAUAAUUUCAGGGAAUGAAAGGAGUCUAUUACACGGAGCCUCCUUCAGCAAGGUUUAGGGAAUUGUGACCCCAGGUGGCCAGAGAGGGAUUUUAAAGAAAGAACGACGAGGAUUUUCUGUCAAAAGACCUUUAACUUUUCCUUCUCGCCAAGUCCAGCGUAGGCUGGGGAUGAGCUCCUGCCUCUUUUAGGCGGUCUUACUAAAAGGACCCGAAUACCGUGACCGACCCCGGGCCCUCCUAAGUUGCCCCUUCUUGCAGCCUUUUGCUGAGUAGCGCGGGAAGAACCAGCUGGGGUUCUCUGGUCCGCUCAGCCACUUCUGGGCCCCGCCCCCGGCCCCGCCCCUCUUGCCCUGCUUCAGCCGCCCGGCCCCGCCCCAUUCGGACAGGCCCCGGCCUGCCCUGCGUGGCCCCGCUGAGAGAGCUGACUCCCUCCCACGAGAACCCGGCCGCGUGUGUUUGGCCUGAGUCAAAGCCGCGAAGAUCCGGAGCCAUGUGGAGGACUGUCCAUGCGGUCCUCCGGACCCCCGGAACCCCACUCCUGCUCCGGAGGUCAAUGUCCACAUCUGCCCUUCUCGCCCAGAAGUCUGCGACCUUGACCGUCACCCCCAAGACCGGGCUGGCCGACGAGCUCCUGGAUAUUAAAGUGGAGGGCUUAGGUCCCAGGGAGCGGGUGACCCUUCGGGCGUCGGCCGUCAGCUACCGAGGCCGCCUCUUCCGAUCGGUGGCCCACUACGAGGCGGACGGCCGCGGGGGGUUGGACCUGGCCAGGGACCGGGCUCUGGGCGGCGACUUCACGGGCGUGGAGCCCAUGGGGCUCCUGUGGAGCCUCACGCCGGUCGGCUCGGAGGAUCCCUGCUUCAGCCAGAUGCCGAGAGGCGUGAUGAAAACCCCCCUCAAAGUGGAGGUGACCGUCCACCACGCGCCGCAGCAGCAGGCGGUACCGCUGGGCCCGGCGCUGGCCUCUGCCCAGGUGCAGCGCUGGUUUUCCAGGCCGGAGCUGAGCCGCGCUCGCCUGCAAGCCGGCCGCCUGCGGGGCGUCUUCUUGCUGCCCCCAGGAGAUGGUCCUUUUCCUGGUUUGAUUGAUAUGUUUGGUGAUGGAGGAUUAAAUGAAUCUCGAGCUAGUCUCCUGGCUUGUCGAGGUUUUGCUACUCUGGCUUUGCCAUUUUUUGGCUAUGAAGAUCUACCUCCAAUCAUGAAAGACUUAAAUUUAGAUUACUUUGAAGAGGCAGCUAAAUUUGUGCAAAGUCACCCAAAGGUUAAAGGUCCAAACAUUGGAGUGAUUGGUUCUGGCAAAGGGGCAGAGUUGGCAUUUUCCAUGGCUAGCUUUCUCCCAAAUAUAGCUGCAGUUGUGAGCAUCAAUGGCUGUGUCUCUAACACAGCUACUGCCCUUACAUGUGGUAGAUCAAUCCUGCCAGGUCUGCCUUUUAACCUAGACAAAAUCUCUGCCAUGGAUUCAGGGGCUUAUGAUGUUAAAGAAGCACUGGAGGACCCCUUGGAUCCAGCCUACCGGGAAAGUCGUAUCCCCCUUGAAAAAGCCAGUGCCCAUUUCCUUUUUAUAGUCGGAGAGGAUGACAGGCAUUGGAAGAGUUCUGUUUACGCUGACAUAGCUGUGAAGCAUCUCACAGAGCAUGGGAAGACAAAUUUUACUCUCUUAAGCUAUCCUAAUGCCGGCCACAGAAUAGAUCCCCCUUACAGCCCUUUUUUCUCUGUAUACCUUGAUCCCGUGUUGGGAGUGCCUGUUUUGGGAGGUGGGCAGCUAAAAGCUCAUGCUGUCGCUCAGAUUGAGUCUUGGAAGAAGAUCUUGGAAUUUUUGCACUUGCAUCUAGGGUAAAGUCUAACAAACUAAGUUUAGAAUAUGUGCAGAACCAUUUAAGGGAUUGAUUGAAUAUUUUUGACAAAUGACCGAAAUCUAGAUCUCUCAUGGGCAUCUGCAAGCUUUUAAAAGAAGUAAAAAUACUUGCUUCAAGUUCAUCAGAGCCUGUAACUUUGGUGACUAUCCAUGUUUCUCCGUGGUUGGUUGGUUUGAGCUUCAACUCAAGGCCUGCAGCAACAAGUAGAUCCAAAGCCAUAGUUUCUGGUGAACAGCUUUUGGGAUCUAUUUUGCCAUUUUGCCGGAUUUAAGAGAACAAAGAAAGGAUCCAAAGUAUAUAAUUCUUCAUUCUUC